UUUUCUUUUCUGACUCACUGGCUUUCCCUUUGGUUCCUGAUGGUCCAUUAGCAGGACACUCUUUUCCUUACCAUUCACUGAUAGGAAUUUUUUUUUACAAUAACUUUUUUCUUCACUAUUCCCACCUAUGAAUUUUCCCAGUAGAAAGCUUUAUAACUAUGUUGUUUCAUCUUUCAAAAACACAUUGAGAUUUUUAUUAACCUUAAAAUUCAAUAUGGAAACAAUUAGCAUACUUCUGUUAUUCAGUCUUCCCGUUAAAAAUCAAAUUUACUCUUUCAUAAUAACUUUUUGUGGUUUUCUUUAUGUGAUCUUAAGUAUUUCUUGUUAUUCUAUUUUCUAGCUACUUUAUGAACUUUGUUUCUAGUGUGCAUGGAAUCUUUUUCUUUUCAUAUUUGAAUAUUUAUGAAUUCUCCAUAUUGAAGUUGUUGAUUUUACAGCAUCUGUAUCCUGUUUUUUACUAUUCUUCCCGGUGGAAGGUGCUUUUCUUUUUGUUGUCUUUAUUUUUGAAAACGAGUGUGCGAGAAGUAUGUUGUAAUUGAAGUAGCAUACUGCCUGACACCCAAGAGGUUGCUCUGUAAGUGAAUUGCCUUUCACCUCCUGCCAUGAUUCUGAGGCCCCCAGCCAUGUGGAACUGGAGAAGGGAGAUGAAAUAAUACCAGCAUCCUGAACCUGAAUGUCCAGCUUCGCCUUGUUCUUUGUGGAUUAUAAGACCAUUGAUUAAAUAAAUCCUUUCAUCAAAAUUAUCUUAAAAAAGAAACUACCAUCUAAAUCCAGUUAUUCCAUCUGACUUGGUAGCAGUGAUGUUUGGAGUUUAGGACCUAAAGGUGAAAUGGGGAAAAUCUGGGUGCUCGGAAAGACACCAGAAGCACACAGAAGAAGAUCAUAUGAAGACACAACAAGAAGGUGACUAGCUGCAAGCCAAGAAGAGAAGCCUCAGAAGAAAUCAAACGUACUAGCACCUUGAUCUUGGAAUUCCAGUCUCCAAAGCUGCGAGAAAAUAAAAUUCUGUUGCUUAAGCUGCCAAGACUAUGGUAUUUUCUUAUGGCAAUCUUAGCAAAAUAACCCUAUUAGCAAACAAAUGCAUACAAAAUCUCUGUAAAUACAGCAGGUUUCCUUUUUAAAAAAACUCUUUAUUUUGAAAAAUUAUAGUUCUACAACAAAUAAUAAAAAAGAUAUACAGGAUGGUCCUAUUUACUCUUGACUCAGUUUCCCUUAUAGUAACAUCUUAUAUAACUACUAGGAAAAUGAUGUUGAUACAUUCCACAUAUCUUGUUAAAAUUUAACCAGUUUUACAUGUAUUAGUUUGUUCUAUGCAAUUUUCUUGCAUGUGUAGACCCAUGUUACCACUACCAUAGAGAAAAUCCAGAAUCAUUCCAUCACCAGAGGCUCCUUCAUGCUGUCUCUUUAUACUCAUUCUUACCUCUUUCUCUAGCUCAUCCCUAACCCCUCACAACCAUUAAUCUGUUCUCCAUCUCUACAACCCUGUUAUUUCAAGAAUGCCAUAUAAUGAGAAUCAAAAUUAAGUGAACUUUUGGGACUAUUUUCACUCAGAAUAAUUCUCUUGAAAUUCAGCCAAGUUAUUGUGUGCAACAAUAACUCAUUCCUUCUUAUUGCGGAGUAGUAGUCCAUGAUAUGGAUGCACUACAGGUUCCUUAACCACUUACUAGGAUAUUACAGUUGUUUACAGUUUGAAGCUAUUAUGACUAAAGCUGACGCUCACAUUUAUAUAUAAGUUUUUAUACAGAAAUAUGUCUCCAUUUCUCUGGAAAAAAAAUCCCAAGGGUACAAUUGCCGAGUCAAAUGUUAAGUGAAUGUUUACUUUAAAAGUGUUAUAUUGUUUUUUAGAGUGGGUGUACCAUUUUACAUUACCAUCAGCAAUGUAUAAGAGGUCCUGUUUCUCAGUAUCAGGCAAUAGAUAAUGUAUGUGCCAUGUAUACGUUUCCAGAACAUGAAAGUAUAGGAAUCUUCUUUUAUUUUAUUAUGUUAGCAUACCCUUCACACUCAAACCUAGCUGUGUGCUGAAAAGGUGAUUCUCUGGAAUUUAAGGAACUUAAAACCCCUGAUUUAUAGCAACUGCAUAUUUUCCAGUUGUGGCUAUUUCCCACCGUGGUUUUCAAACUACCCACAUGACUUAAUUGAAAGUGAAUUAAGGAAAAAAAUACUCACAAGUAGUUCUCACACAGUUCUCACUGGCACAAGCCAGUUCCAGCACACUGCUGCACAUACACAAACAUAUGCACACAUGCAUACACACAUAUAUACACACAUGCAUAUUCACAGACACAUAAAAACACAGAUGCAUAGAGACACCAGAUUUAUCUCCUUCAUUCGUACAGAUGGACCAUUAAAUAAGAUGACAAGAUGAAUUUAAUAGCAUGACAUAAUCAAAUAUAGAGACAGAUAUAAAAUACAUAGAGUAUGAAACUAUGAAACAAUUUUGGAAAUAAAAGUGUAUAUUAAUGUGCAAAUAUAUGUAUAGAAUAUGAGACUGAAAACACCAAAAUGUUGAUACUGUUUAUUUCUGGGUAGUUGGAUGACAAGUGAAUUUAGUUUUUCUGAUUGUGCUUUUCUUUAUCUUUAAGGAACAUGUUUUCUUUUAAUCAGAAAGAAAUAAUUACAUAUAUAUGUAAUUAACAUAUAUUGUAUAAUAUAUAUCACAUAUAUUCCACAUAUAUGGAAUAUAUAUUGUGUUUUAAAGUUUAAAAUGUGAGGAGACCACGUCAAUGAGGAACUUGGAACCAAGUAAAACAUGGAUGGAUAUGUGACAAUAUUGUGGAAUAGAGUGAAAAUUCAGCUCAGAAAUAGUGAAGCUUAUUUUAAAUGGAAACUAAAAUAAGAUCAUGUGGAUUAAAUUAGAGAUAUUUCCAGGAGAAGAUAUGUUUGAGCAUAACUUUCCUCUCCUCCCUAUCUGAGGAAAAUUCUGGAAGAGACUUCAUACGUAUCUAUAUUUGUAUCUAUGUCAGAAAAGGAGAGAAGUAAGGCCUGGGAGGCAGCUUGCUGUUGUGAAAGGAAAAUGAAGUCAGAUGAUCCUUAAUUUGGAUACUCUUUCUUACCAUUUGGGGCAAGUUACUUCCUCAAAGCCUCAAUUUCUUCUUCUCUAGCAUGAGAUUAAUAUUUGUGAUUCAUCAGAAGGUUAAACAAAGCAAUUUUUACAAAGUAAAAAGCAAAUUUUACAAAGAAGGCUUUCAUUUUGUUCUGUCCUAUUUUAUUCUAAAUUAUGGUAUGUUACCCAAAUCCCAGUGGGAGCUUUUGUGAGUGAAUGACAUUAAAAAAUUACUGGAACAGGAAAUAUUUCCCUUUAAUGAACUAGAUGAGAUUUUUUAAAAAAAAACCACUAAUUAUGUAUUUUACAUUAUGGAAACAGAGAUUAUAUAAUGAUAAAAAGAUGUGUAUUAUAUUUUAAAAAAUAGUUACAAAAAGUAAAUCUUUUGUUUUCAUGUGAUCCAUUCAUUUGUCCAUUAUUCAACAGAUAUUUAUACAAUACUAAUUCAGUGAAAACCAGCAUUAGCUUAGGAGAAAGUAUUAGGAAGUACAAGAUUAAUGACAUCUGGGACCAAGAAAUUUUCAGUAAAAUCAAUGAAUGGCAUUUUGCUUAUUUCGGAACAGCAAAAUAGAAAUAGUCAAUACUAUAGUCUCUGCAUCUAGUCCUUCUGUGUGAAUAUGUAUCUAGAGGCUUAUGCAAAAUAAUGCCUAAGGUUAGGACAAGCACUUUUAUUCAGCUGAUAAUAAAAUAUAUAAAGUGUACAAUGAAUAUCCAAAUGUAUAAUAAUCUAAUCCAGAAUUACUCAAUCUAUGAAUUAUUAAGAUAUGGUAAGGACAAGAUUAAAACUAUGUUUUUCUGCCUGGCUGUCUUUAAACUAUUGUUACAUGGCAACCCUUUAACAACCCAGUAGUUAGCCAUGAUCAUUGUAUUAGGCUGCUUGGGUUGCUGUAACAAAAUGUUAAUACCAUAGACUGGGUGGCUUAAAUAACAGACCUUUAUUUCUCACAGUUCUGGAGGUUGGGAAGUCCAAGAUCAAGGUGCUGGCCAAUUCUGUUCCUGCCUCUCUUUUCUGGCUUAUAUAUUUCUGCCUUUUUGCCGUGUCCUUGCAAGGCAGAGAAAUAUCUUCUCCUACUCCAAUUCUUCCUUCUACUCCUUCUUUUUCUUCAUAAGCCACUAAUCCUAUCAUGACAGCCCUAUUCUCAUUACCUCAUUCAACCUUAAUUAUCUCCCAAAGGGCCCACAUCCAAAUACCGUCAUAUUGAGGGUUAAGGCUUCAACAUCUGAGUUUUGGGGGAGACACAAUUUGGUCCAGAGCAACCAUCAUUUUGCUAAUGCCAUCUGGCUUGUGAAAUAUUAAUAGCAAGUCUAAGACUUUUCUCAAUAUUCAAAGAGGAAGGCUCAAAGAGAUUUUGAUAGUUUUUGGUUGUUUGUGAAUAUAUACAAGCUGAAUAGAAGUUUCAGUGUAAGGAUGGUAUCACACCCUUUCUCACCACCUACUCCCAAAUUUUGAAAGCCAUUACUUGAGAAAUAGACAUCCUCUUGGUGUUGUCAAUGUUCCUGAAUACACAAUAAUUGUUAAUACAUUUUGCAAAGAGAAUAUGCACCGUUGAAAGGGAAUAUUACUUAUUCAUUCAUUCAAAAAAUUAUUGAGCGCUGCUAUUUUCCAAGCACUUUUCUGAAUGCUAAGAAUAUAGGAAUAAUCAAAAGAGAAAAAGUCUCUUCUCUCAAAGAGCAUAUUGCCUUGUGUUGGAGGCAAACCAUAAUUAAACAGACAAGUGAAUAUCUAGUUUGUCAGAUAAUGAUUAGUCCUAUGGAGAAGUAUAAAGCAGGAUACAGGAAAUGGGGAGGGCUGGUAGGUGGGGAGAAGAGUGGUUAUUUUAUGUAGGUAAACAGGGAACCUGAAGUAAAUAAGGGAGUGAGCCAUGCUGAUGUCAGGAGAAAAGUUUCAGAAGGUGAGGAGAACAAAUGCAGAGGCCACAAGGUGAGAGAAUGCUUAGGUGUAUGAAAGACAGCAAGGAGCCCAGUGUAUAUAGACCAACUGAACCAGAGGAAGAAUCAUAGGAGGUGAGAACGGUAAUGUAGGGGAAGAUUACGCUAAACCCUGUAUGUUAUUGUAAGAAUUUUAGCUUUUGCUGGGAGUGAGAUAGGCUACUGAAGGUUUAUGAGCAGAGGAAUCUUAUCAGAUUUAGGUUUUAAAAGUGAAAUGUGUUGGUUGUAGAAACAGCUGACUUUAGAUGGAUAAGGCAGAAAAAGUGAGAUUAAUUGCAAGAUCGUUGCAAUAAUCUAGGAGUUAAAUGGAGGUUGAAUGAAUAAGGGAGAAUGGAAGGGUGAGUGAGAAGGAAUCAGGUUUUAGAUACAUUUAGAAGAAAGAGCUAGAGCCAGCUGACAGCAUUUGCUAAUGGAUUGCAUAUGAAAGAAAGAAGUCAAGGAUAAUCCAAGUUAUUUGGUAUGAACAACGGAGAAACGAAGUUGCCAUUUGUAAAAUAAGUAAGGCUGAGGAAGGAGCAGGUUUGGGGAAAAUGGGAAAUUGAAGUCAAUUCCAGAUCAGUUAUGUUUGAGAAGCCAAUUAGAUACACACAAGGAAAUUCUGAGGAAGGAGUUAGUAUUAUUAAUUUCACUUUAGGAGAGAGAUAUGGGAUUGAGUUUGACGGUGAGUAGUUGUCACUUACAGAUGAUACAUCAAAUCACGUGACAGGAUGAGAUCCUAGAAAGUGAAUGCAAUUACAAAAGGAAUGAGGUCCGAGAAAACCUACUUGGGGCAUUCUAAAGUCAGUGGUCUGAGCGGUCAGAAGGAAUUUACAAAGGAACUGAGAAGAAGAGCCAAUGAGAAAGGGAACUUCUUUUUUUUCACAGUGAGUGCUUGUGAACUUUAAAGGAAUGUGUGAUGAGGAGACUUUUUUUUUAAAUAACUGGAAUUAUAUCUUUCUUUUCUAAUGGUCUAGUAGGAAAAACUGUUUCCUUUAGGGGAGAGGGCAAUUGCUGGAGUAAUAUCCUUAAGUAAUAUCACAAUUUAUUUAUAGUAACAGGAGAGAAUGUCAGGUAUUCAGGUGCAUAGGCAGAUAGAUUGGUACAUGUGGUUGUGGGAGCAUGAGGAACUUCUCUCUUCUUUCUUUUUAAUUCUCACUGACGCAGGAAGUAGACUCCUUGCUGGCAUGACUAUGAAGGCAGAAGAUUAAAGGUUUUUUUCUUUUUUUAAUUUAAAAUUUUUAAUUUUUGUGAGUACAUGGAAGAUUAAAAUUUGAAGAAGACAGCUUAGAAAUCUGGGAAAAUAGACCAUCCUGGCUAACACAGUGAAACCCCUUCUGUACUAAAAAUGCAAACAAUUAGCUGGGUGUGGUGGCGGGCGCCUGUAGUCG
rnacentral:lncRNA from 10 species